rnacentral:tRNA from 2 species
GCCGCCUUAGCUCAGUUGGUAGAGCUCCAGCUUUGUAAUCUGGAGGUCGCCGGUUCGAUUCCGGCAGGCGGCUCCA